AUUGAACGCUGGCGGCAUGCCUUACACAUGCAAGUCGAACGGCAGCACGGGAGCAAUCCUGGUGGCGAGUGGCGAACGGGUGAGUAAUAUAUCGGAACGUGCCCAGUCGUGGGGGAUAACGUAGCGAAAGCUACGCUAAUACCGCAUACGAUCUAUGGAUGAAAGCGGGGGAUCGCAAGACCUCGCGCGAUUGGAGCGGCCGAUAUCAGAUUAGGUAGUUGGUGAGGUAAAGGCUCACCAAGCCGACGAUCUGUAGCUGGUCUGAGAGGACGACCAGCCACACUGUGACUGAGACACGGCCAAGACUCCUACGGGAGGCAGCAGUGGGGAAUGUUGGACAAUGGGCGCAAGCCUGAUGCAGCAAUGCCGCGUGCAGGAUGAAGGCCUUCGGGUUGUAAACUGCUUUUGUACGGAACGAAACGGUGAGCUCUAAUACAGUUUGCUAAUGACGGUACCGUAAGAAUAAGCACCGGCUAACUACGUGCCAGCCGCCGCCGUAA
rnacentral:rRNA from 1 species